AUCCAGCUGACAAAUCCCAAAUAGGACGAAAGGCGCGUCUAAACUGGAU
rnacentral:hammerhead_ribozyme from 1 species